UACGUAGGGCGCGAGCGUUAAUCGGAAUUACUGGGCGUAAAGCGUGCGCAGGCGGUUUUGUAAGUCUGUCGUGAAAUCCCCGGGCUCAACCUGGGAAUGGCGAUGGAGACUGCAAGGCUGGAAUCUGGCAGAGGGGGGUAGAAUUCCACGUGUAGCAGUGAAAUGCGUAGAGAUCCGGAGGAACCCCAGAGGCGAAGGCGGCGCCCUGGCCCGACACUGACGCUCAGACACGACAGCAUGGGGAGCGAACGGG
rnacentral:rRNA from 1 species